rnacentral:rRNA from 1 species
GUGGGGAAUAUUGGACAAUGGGGGCAACCCUGAUCCAGCAAUGCCGCGUGGGUGAAGAAGGCCUUCGGGUUGUAAAGCCCUUUUGUACGGGAAGAAAAGCUUCGGAUUAAUACUUCGAGGUCAUGACGGUACCGUAAGAAUAAGCACCGGCUAACUUCGUGCCAGCAGCCGCGGUAAUACGAAGGGUGCAAGCGUUAAUCGGAAUUACUGGGCGUAAAGCGUGCGUAGGUGGUUUGUUAAGUCUGAUGUGAAAGCCCUGGGCUCAACCUGGGAAUGGCAUUGGAUACUGGCUUACUAGAGUGCGGUAGAGGGAUGCGGAAUUUCCGGUGUAGCGGUGAAAUGCGUAGAGAUCGGAAGGAACAUCUGUGGCGAAGGCGGCAUCCUGGACCAGCACUGACACUGAGGCACGAAAGCGUGGGGAGCAAACAGGAUUAGAAACCCUAGUAGUCC